rnacentral:rRNA from 1 species
GUCGAACGGUGAAGCCCAGCUUGCUGGGUGGAUCAGUGGCGAACGGGUGAGUAACACGUGAGCAAUCUGCCCCUGACUCUGGGAUAAGCGCUGGAAACGGCGUCUAAUACUGGAUAUGAGCUGCGACCGCAUGGUCAGUAGUUGGAAAGAUUUUUCGGUUAGGGAUGAGCUCGCGGCCUAUCAGCUUGUUGGUGAGGUAAUGGCUCACCAAGGCGUCGACGGGUAGCCGGCCUGAGAGGGUGACCGGCCACACUGGGACUGAGACACGGCCCAGACUCCUACGGGAGGCAGCAGUGGGGAAUAUUGCACAAUGGGCGGAAGCCUGAUGCAGCAACGCCGCGUGAGGGAUGACGGCCUUCGGGUUGUAAACCUCUUUUAGCAAGGAAGAAGCGAAAGUGACGGUACUUGCAGAAAAAGCGCCGGCUAACUACGUGCCAGCAGCCGCGGUAAUACGUAGGGCGCAAGCGUUAUCCGGAAUUAUUGGGCGUAAAGAGCUCGUAGGCGGUUUGUCGCGUCUGCUGUGAAAUCCCGAGGCUCAACCUCGGGCCUGCAGUGGGUACGGGCAGACUAGAGUGCGGUAGGGGAGAUUGGAAUUCCUGGUGUAGCGGUGGAAUGCGCAGAUAUCAGGAGGAACACCGAUGGCGAAGGCAGAUCUCUGGGCCGUAACUGACGCUGAGGAGCGAAAGGGUGGGGAGCAAACAGGCUUAGAUACCCUGGUAGUCCACCCCGUAAACGUUGGGAACUAGUUGUGGGGACCAUUCCACGGUUUCCGUGACGCAGCUAACGCAUUAAGUUCCCCGCCUGGGGAGUACGGCCGCAAGGCUAAAACUCAAAGGAAUUGACGGGGACCCGCACAAGCGGCGGAGCAUGCGGAUUAAUUCGAUGCAACGCGAAGAACCUUACCAAGGCUUGACAUACACCAGAACGCCCUAGAAAUAGGGAACUCUUUUGGACACUGGUGAACAGGUGGUGCAUGGUUGUCGUCAGCUCGUGUCGUGAGAUGUUGGGGUUAAGUCC